AUGGCUGGAUUCGCUGAUGCACUGAGGCCGGAUAAGUUUACCGGUGUGCACUUUAAGAGGUGGCAGGUGGGAUGCAUUCUGAGUGUUCUUGUUGACCGUCUGUGUGAUGUGUACAUGCACAUAAACGACGGAAAAAUUCUGUGGGAUGCACUGAAUGCAAAAUUCGGUGCAACAGAUGCAGGCAGUGAACUGUACAUCAUGGAGAGUUUUCAUGACUACAAGAUGGUGAAUAACCGUUCUGUGGUUGAACAAGCUCAUGAGAUACAGUGCAUUGUGAAGGAACUUGAACUCCUUAAAUAUGUUCUAUCCGACAAAUUCGUGGCUGGGUGCAUGAUUGCAAAGUUGCCUCCUUCAUGGAGGAAUUUCGCCACAACUCUGAAGCAUAAGAGACAGGAGAUAUCAGUUGAAAAUCUGAUUGCAUCUCUUGAUGUUGAAGAAAAAGCUCGGGCUAAAGAUACCACUGAAAAAGGAGGUGAGGUUCAGCCUACUGCUAACAUGGUGCAGAGGUACCCACAGAACAAGAACAAAGGGAAGAACAAACCUGUUGUCAACAAGCCUACCAAGACUACUACCUUCAAGAAGAAGAAGUUCAACAAGUAUUUCAAUCAUCUUCGUGGUGGAUUGAUUCGGGUGCUAACGUUCAUGUGUGUGCUGACAUCUCCCUGUUUACUUCUUAUCAGGUCGCAAGGGAUUCUUCCGUCCUAA
rnacentral:rRNA from 1 species